CAGAGACAUCCAUGCAAACUCCACUGCAGGUGUGAACUUAACUUUGUGCCUCACUGCUCAGUAGUUCUCAGCCAUGGCAGUGGUUUUACCCACUGGACAUUGGGCCUUUUAGAGGCAUUUUUUUUUAUUUUCAAGGUAGGGAAUAUGAUUACUAAACAUCAUCAUGAUGGGCAAGCCCCUUACCAAAAACAACCCUUUGGUCUCUAAGUUUAACCAUGCUGAGGCUCAGGAACCCUGAGGUAGAUCAUACAUGCUGGGAAAAAAAAAAAACUGGUAUUUUUCUAAUUUAUUAUUUUCUCCCCAGUGCUUUAAGCACAAUGAUUGUCUCCCAGUAGUGAGGAAUGGAGGAAAGAAACAAGAGAAGGAGCAGAAUGAGACACACAGCAUAUUAUCAGAUGAAACCUAAAGCCUGUAGGCAGGAGAAUUAUUAAUUUGGACCUGAUUAUGGUGCUACUAACUCUCUGUCAAAGAGUUCUACCAUCCUUCCCAAACCUUACCAGUCCCAGGUCAGUUGUCAGUAUUGAGCCAGAUUCCCCUACUUGAACAACAGGCAAGAUUCUUCCUUAGCAGAAACCCCAUUGAGGAAGUAGUCUUUCCACCUCUUCUAUUCCAAGAAUGAAUAGUGAGUCAUUGAGGACUUCACCUGCAUUCACGUGCAUGCACAUGCUCACACACACACACACACACACAAAUUAAUAUUCAGGCCAUCAGAAUCUGCAACCCCAUGCUGGAGCUGGUGGCCUGGGGAAUUAUCUUGCCAUCUACAAGAAAAACCUUUGACUUCUGAUCCUGCACAUUCCAGAAUUUUCUGUGCAGUGUUCCACUUUCCCCUUCCAAGGUGCCAUCCGAGAGAAAAAAAGCUACAGUAAGACUCAAAGCCAGGCCACUGCCCUUUUCUCUGUACCUGAGUAGUCUGACCUUAUCC
rnacentral:lncRNA from 1 species